UUAUCGCGGGAUUUCCAACGCUUGAGAUCGCGGUAACUGGCGUUUAUGAGGUAGUCCGUUAAAGGCGACACACGAGGGCGAAGUAGCCGGCGAGAUUGUGUAGAUGUCAGUCCACCUUAAAACGCAGUAAUGCCAGACAGACGCUCCUAGUGGUUCACUGGCUUCUGAAACUUUUAAGGUGAUCCAAAAGAGAUACGCUGACUAUUUGGGUGGUGCUCAGGAAGCUCUGGGCAGUUCAGGGUUAAUUCCCACGCACUACACUUCUGCAUGGUCUGCAUCUCGGUCCGUGUACGGAUCUGGUAAUUGGAUUUUCCGUUCUGAAACGGGUAUUGAAAAACGAAAAACGAGUGGUUAUUUGAUUUUCGUUUUAAAAUACAAAAAUUAAAAUUGAAAUACAAGGCGUUUUUCCUUUUCAUGAUCAAAAGGGGAUAUACGAUUUUUUUUAAAUGCUUUUAUUUUCGUUUUAUAUUUAGAAUCACAAGAAAGUAAAAUCAAAAAGACACAAACGAAAAAAGGUCCGUUUUUUUUCAUUUUCUUAGACCGGAAGUGGUCAUCAGCAAGUGUGGAGCCAACCAGAGUACGGUGCAUAGACUGUAUAUACAUUUUUUUUCGUUAGUUUUCGUGGUCAAAAUGAGAGAUCAGGUGGCCGAUGUUAAAAUAAACCAAUAUUGAUUUUUUUUUUAUAGAGCGUUAAAGUUUUAAAGCCAGGGGGCUCGGCUACUCGAUUGACAGUCCAGUCUGGAAUGAUUGACAGGUCCUAUGGAGGAGGCAGCAGAGACUGCGCUCCUCGUUUGGAUUAAUUCUGAUAUAAUAACUGUUGGUUUAUUUAUCGGUGAAGCAGCACAACAUAUUCCACAGACAGUUUUCCUGCCCGUUGGCUUGUUUUAACCAGUUUUCUGCCUUCGGCUGAUUCUACCAGCAGACACAAAGGACUCUGAUAGUUCGACCAAAGAACUACAGACUCUUCACAACCUGCUCAAACUCUUGGUACAGGACCUCACCACAUGGGUCAAGAAGGUUUCCGUCUCAUUUCUACUCUGAAGCUCACCUUCUCCUGCUCAAACUGCUGACAAAUGUUUCUGCUGCUCUAAAGUCUGCUCUCCAGAACUUCCAAAAAACUCUCAGUCUCUUCUGCUGCAGGUUGCUUUGUAGAACUGUUGCAGAAAACCUCACUAAACCACAUGGAGGGGUCUCAAGAUAUUUGUCCAAAUGAAACCAUACAAAAACCAAACUAGCACAACCCAAACACUAAAGUCUCCUGCAGCCUACCAGAGAACCUCUGAGAACAGAGAAUCAGGACAGGAAUUCUUACCUUCUGGACAACCAACGUGGGUUCUCAAACAAGAAUACAGAAUGUGUCUGACCAAAAACCUCUAAAGACUCACUACAGCCAAGAUAAAGACACAACUCAGCUGCACCAAAUCCACUAAUCACUGCACACAUUAGCACCGUGUGCUAACUGUGGCUAAAGAACCUCAUUUACCAAGACAACUAUCCAGUACAAAGCCCUAAAACACACCAAGAAACACAUUAAAGACGAUUUUACUGCUGGAAGCUGCAAGCCAACGCCUAAAGAACAAACUAAAGCAAUGGAGCCAAACCAGGUUCAGUGGUGAAGAGAAACAGAGGAAAUGUUUGUCUGCAGCUAAAUAAAGCAGGAAGACACUGAGCUGCUCAGGUGUUCCUGAUAAUACCAAGCAGCCACCUGGACAGCCAAUAGGAACACAGCUUACUGGAAGUCCAGAGGGCUGGGUUAGUCAAGGAAAUUUAGUUUAAAGUUGAAGCAGAAAGUUAACAAAGAAAGUUGAAAACCACCUUUUGAUACCUGAAAUCACUGAGUUUUCACACAAAGAACGCCUGAACAUGUCAAACUGGUUCCAUAGUAGAACCAUCAUUGUAAAAACGUCAUAGUAUGGUGUGUUGCUCAAAAAACAUUACGACCCGGCUGUCUAGGGUCGCCGAGGAGCAACACAAAAACAGGACAAACGUUGGUUUCCAGGGGGUUAGGCGGCUAUUUAUUUGAAAGAGUGAGUUUACAACAACACAACAUGUGAGCAGAAAAAUCACAAAGUCUGUCUUUAGUUCAGCUGAAAAUAUUAAUUUUUGUCUUUUUUAUUGACCAAACUUUUCAGGAAGUAGAUGAAGAAUAAUUAAAGCUCUCAUGUAGAAGUCCAACUUAUUUUGGAUCCUUGUGGAGAGUUUAAUCUUAGAGUUUGUAAAGCUGUUGAGUUUUUAGAGUCACAUGGAUUGUUUUGACAUUUAAUAACCGAGUCCUGAAAUAAAAUUACAGUUGUG